UUCAUUUUCCAUAAUUAAAUUAUUUUCUUUAAUUUUAUUUAAGAUGUAAUAUUUUUUUCAUUAAUUUCCUAAUCAUUUAUCGAGAAUUGUUAGAUUAGGCUUUAAAUUUUCCGUUAUUGAAUCUGAUCUGUUCUGUUGUACAAGGUAGCAAUAUUCCGAUUUUCUUUCCUUUUACUUUGAUUAUAAUUUUGAAAGUGCUGAAGUUUGUUUGGUUACUUAGAAAUGCUUAAGAAAUUAAUGUAAAUAUUAGAUUAAAAUGUUUACCUAUAUGGAAAUUGAUCAGUUUUGCGUCCUUUGACGAUACGUUUUUUGUAUUCGGUUUGUUAGUGGAGUGAGAAAUGUCAUAAUCUGUUUUCUAAAAGAAGAAAUGUGAGAUAGAGCCGUGAUUGGUGAUCUCUGAAUGCUGAGAAAUGCUUUCAAAGUAAAUUUGAGUAAUAGUUUCAAAAUUUAAAACAGUGGAAACUGACCAAUUUACACAAUAUGUUUCUUAGCUGCGGCUUGUUGAUGUUAUUAGAAUGCAAUAAUCUGUUUAUGUAAACCAAAUUGUUCAAUAUAGUUAUUGUUUAGUUGUUUUAUGUUGCAGUGACAUUUAAUUUGAAGUUAAACUAGUAUGAUUGGGCUUGUUGGGUCUAAUUGAGUUGAUACUUAGGAGGCUCCAACUUUUUUUAUUUUUAUUGAAAUUCUCAUGUCUGUCUCUUGUGUCUGACAUAGCCAUGGGUUUACGACCCUUCAAGGACUCUUCAAAUACAUUCAUGUCAGACGCAUAACCAUAUUCUAUGCUCACACCUGAGUCUGAAAUGGGGAUGAUUCUGUAGAUAAGAAACUGGAGAAUGAAACAAUGGCAGCUUUUGUCCAGACUCUACUUCAACAGAUCGUGGGUUCUUAUUUUGAACUGUUUUGGUAUUCUAUAAGGAAUUUCAGAACAAUAAAUUUUAAACAGAUUUAGCUAAUACCACCCUUCCAUUACAUAUAACAGCAACAAAGGUUCCAAACAAUGUCUGACUCCAUCAUUAAGAAGAAUAUCCUUUUCAUAUUAUCUAGUUGUUUCUAAACGAGGGGAUGAGUUGCAUGAUUAGUUUCUAUAAAGCAUCAGGGAAGUUCUGUUUUGUUGAUCUUGUGGUUGUUUGGUGGAGGUUUUUAAGAAUUUCACUUUUGCAAUAAGCAAAAUGUGAAAGCUUUUUUACUUGCUUACACCGAGGUUUUAGUCUGUUUUUACUUUGGUUUUUUAUUUCAAUGGGGAAAGUAGCCAUGGGUGAGUUGCCAAAUUUCCUUUCAUUUCACUCAACCUUGUUCUUUAGGUGCUACUAAAGCUAAAGUGAAGCAGUUUAACCUUAAUUCGAUGUAUAUUCAUGUUCCAAAGAAAAUAAAACUUAUAAGCAUGUUCUUGA